rnacentral:rRNA from 1 species
GUUGAACGCUGGCGGCGUGCCUAAUACAUGCAAGUCGAGCGAACAGACGAGGAGCUUGCUCCUCUGACGUUAGCGGCGAACGGGUGAGUAACACGUGGAUAACCUACCUAUAAGACUGGGAUAACUUCGGGAAACCGGAGCUAAUACCGGAUAAUAUAUUGAACCGCAUGGUUCAAUAGAGAAAGACGGUUUUGCUGUCACUUAUAGAUGGAUCCGCGCCGCAUUAGCUAGUUGGUAAGGUAACGGCUUACCAAGGCGACGAUGCGUAGCCGACCUGAGAGGGUGAUCGGCCACACUGGAACUGAGACACGGUCCAGACUCCUACGGGAGGCAGCAGUAGGGAAUCUUCCACAAUGGGCGAAAGCCUGACGGAGCAACGCCGCGUGAGUGAUGAAGGUCUUCGGAUCGUAAAACUCUGUUAUUAGGGAAGAACAAAUGUGUAAGUAACUAUGCACGUCUUGACGGUACCUAAUCAGAAAGCCACGGCUAACUACGUG